UACGUAGGGUCCAAGCGUUAUCCGGAAUUACUGGGCGUAAAGAGUUCGUAGGCGGAUUUUUAAGUUAGAUGUUAAAUAUACAGGCUCAACUUGUAUGCUGCAUCUAAUACUGGAAGUCUUGAGAGUGGAAGAGGUAAGCGGAAUUUCCGGUGGAGCGGUUAAAUGCGUAGAUAUCGGAAAGAACACCAAUGGCGAAGGCAGCUUACUGGGCCAUUUCUGACGCUGAGGAACGAAAGCGUGGGGAGCGAUCGGG
rnacentral:rRNA from 1 species